rnacentral:rRNA from 1 species
AGCGAACGCUGGCGGCAGGCCUAACACAUGCAAGUCGAACGAACCUUUCGGGGUUAGUGGCGGACGGGUGAGUAACACGUGGGAACGUGCCUUUAGGUGUGGAAUAACUCAGGGAAACUUGUGCUAAUACCGAAUGUGCCCUUCGGGGGAAAGAUUUAUCGCCUUUAGAGCGGCCCGCGUCUGAUUAGCUAGUUGGUUGAGGUAAUGGCUCACCAAGGCGACGAUCAGUAGCUGGUCUGAGAGGAUGAUCAGCCACAUUGGGACUGAGACACGGCCCAAACUCCUACGGGAGGCAGCAGUGGGGAAUCUUGCGCAAUGGGCGAAAGCCUGACGCAGCCAUGCCGCGUGAAUGAUGAAGGUCUUAGGAUUGUAAAAUUCUUUCACCGGGGACGAUAAUGACGGUACCCGGAGAAGAAGCCCCGGCUAACUUCGUG